GACGUAGGGCGCGAGCGUUGUCCGGAUUUAUUGGGCGUAAAGAGCUCGUAGGCGGCUUGUCGCGUCGUCCGUGAAAACCCACGGCUUAACUCGUGGGCUUGCGGUCGAUACGGGCAGACUGGAGUACUGCAGGGGGAGACUGGAAUUCCUGGUGUAGCGGUGGAAUGCGCAGAUAAUCAGGAGGAACACCGGUGGCGAAGGCGGGUCUCUGGGCAGUAACUGACGCUGAGGAGCGAAAGCGUGGGGAGCGAACAGG
rnacentral:rRNA from 1 species